CGUGGAGACAGGUGGUGCAUGGCUGUCGUCAGCUCGUGUCGUGAGAUGUUGGGUUAAGUCCCGCAACGAGCGCAACCCUCACCCCUGGUUGCCACCGGGUAAAGCCGAGCACUCGAGGGGAACUGCCAGCGUCAAGCUGGAGGAAGGCGGGGAUGACGUCAAGUCAUCAUGCCCCUUACGCCCCGGGCUACACACGUGCUACAAUGGCCGGUACAAAGGGACGCGAGACCGCGAGGUGGAGCUAAUCCCAAAAAACCGGUCUAAGUUCAGAUUGCAGUCUGCAACUCGACUGCAUGAAGGAGGAAUCGCUAGUAAUCGCGCAUCAGCACGGCGCGGUGAAUACGUUCCCGGGCCUUGUACACACCGCCCGUCACACCACGAAAGCUGUCUGUACUCGAAGUCGCUGAG
rnacentral:rRNA from 1 species